AGCGUACACGGUGGAUGCCCUGGCAGUCAGAGGCGAUGAAGGACGUGCUAAUCUGCGAUAAGCGUCGGUAAGGUGAUAUGAACCGUUAUAACCGGCGAUUUCCGAAUGGGGAAACCCAGUGUGUUUCGACACACUAUCAUUAACUGAAUCCAUAGGUUAAUGAGGCGAACCGGGGGAACUGAAACAUCUAAGUACCCCGAGGAAAAGAAAUCAACCGAGAUUCCCCCAGUAGCGGCGAGCGAACGGGGAGCAGCCCAGAGCCUGAAUCAGUGUGUGUGUUAGUGGAAGCGUCUGGAAAGGCGCGCGAUACAGGGUGACAGCCCCGUACACAAAAAUGCACAUGCUGUGAGCUCGAUGAGUAGGGCGGGACACGUGGUAUCCUGUCUGAAUAUGGGGGGACCAUCCUCCAAGGCUAAAUACUCCUGACUGACCGAUAGUGAACCAGUACCGUGAGGGAAAGGCGAAAAGAACCCCGGCGAGGGGAGUGAAAAAGAACCUGAAACCGUGUACGUACAAGCAGUGGGAGCACGCUUAGGCGUGUGACUGCGUACCUUUUGUAUAAUGGGUCAGCGACUUAUAUUCUGUAGCAAGGUUAACCGAAUAGGGGAGCCGAAGGGAAACCGAGUCUUAACUGGGCGUUAAGUUGCAGGGUAUAGACCCGAAACCCGGUGAUCUAGCCAUGGGCAGGUUGAAGGUUGGGUAACACUAACUGGAGGACCGAACCGACUAAUGUUGAAAAAUUAGCGGAUGACUUGUGGCUGGGGGUGAAAGGCCAAUCAAACCGGGAGAUAGCUGGUUCUCCCCGAAAGCUAUUUAGGUAGCGCCUCGUGAAUUCAUCUCCGGGGGUAGAGCACUGUUUCGGCAAGGGGGUCAUCCCGACUUACCAACCCGAUGCAAACUGCGAAUACCGGAGAAUGUUAUCACGGGAGACACACGGCGGGUGCUAACGUCCGUCGUGAAGAGGGAAACAACCCAGACCGCCAGCUAAGGUCCCAAAGUCAUGGUUAAGUGGGAAACGAUGUGGGAAGGCCCAGACAGCCAGGAUGUUGGCUUAGAAGCAGCCAUCAUUUAAAGAAAGCGUAAUAGCUCACUGGUCGAGUCGGCCUGCGCGGAAGAUGUAACGGGGCUAAACCAUGCACCGAAGCUGCGGCAGCGACACUAUGUGUUGUUGGGUAGGGGAGCGUUCUGUAAGCCUGUGAAGGUGUACUGUGAGGUAUGCUGGAGGUAUCAGAAGUGCGAAUGCUGACAUAAGUAACGAUAAAGCGGGUGAAAAGCCCGCUCGCCGGAAGACCAAGGGUUCCUGUCCAACGUUAAUCGGGGCAGGGUGAGUCGACCCCUAAGGCGAGGCCGAAAGGCGUAGUCGAUGGGAAACAGGUUAAUAUUCCUGUACUUGGUGUUACUGCGAAGGGGGGACGGAGAAGGCUAUGUUGGCCGGGCGACGGUUGUCCCGGUUUAAGCGUGUAGGCUGGUUUUCCAGGCAAAUCCGGAAAAUCAAGGCUGAGGCGUGAUGACGAGGCACUACGGUGCUGAAGCAACAAAUGCCCUGCUUCCAGGAAAAGCCUCUAAGCAUCAGGUAACAUCAAAUCGUACCCCAAACCGACACAGGUGGUCAGGUAGAGAAUACCAAGGCGCUUGAGAGAACUCGGGUGAAGGAACUAGGCAAAAUGGUGCCGUAACUUCGGGAGAAGGCACGCUGAUAUGUAGGUGAAGUCCCUCGCGGAUGGAGCUGAAAUCAGUCGAAGAUACCAGCUGGCUGCAACUGUUUAUUAAAAACACAGCACUGUGCAAACACGAAAGUGGACGUAUACGGUGUGACGCCUGCCCGGUGCCGGAAGGUUAAUUGAUGGGGUUAGCCGCAAGGCGAAGCUCUUGAUCGAAGCCCCGGUAAACGGCGGCCGUAACUAUAACGGUCCUAAGGUAGCGAAAUUCCUUGUCGGGUAAGUUCCGACCUGCACGAAUGGCGUAAUGAUGGCCAGGCUGUCUCCACCCGAGACUCAGUGAAAUUGAACUCGCUGUGAAGAUGCAGUGUACCCGCGGCAAGACGGAAAGACCCCGUGAACCUUUACUAUAGCUUGACACUGAACAUUGAGCCUUGAUGUGUAGGAUAGGUGGGAGGCUUUGAAGUGUGGACGCCAGUCUGCAUGGAGCCGACCUUGAAAUACCACCCUUUAAUGUUUGAUGUUCUAACGUUGACCCGUAAUCCGGGUUGCGGACAGUGUCUGGUGGGUAGUUUGACUGGGGCGGUCUCCUCCUAAAGAGUAACGGAGGAGCACGAAGGUUGGCUAAUCCUGGUCGGACAUCAGGAGGUUAGUGCAAUGGCAUAAGCCAGCUUGACUGCGAGCGUGACGGCGCGAGCAGGUGCGAAAGCAGGUCAUAGUGAUCCGGUGGUUCUGAAUGGAAGGGCCAUCGCUCAACGGAUAAAAGGUACUCCGGGGAUAACAGGCUGAUACCGCCCAAGAGUUCAUAUCGACGGCGGUGUUUGGCACCUCGAUGUCGGCUCAUCACAUCCUGGGGCUGA
rnacentral:rRNA from 1 species